rnacentral:rRNA from 1 species
GUGGGGAAUAUUGGACAAUGGGCGAAAGCCUGAUCCAGUCAUGCCGCGUGUGUGAAGAAGGUCUUCGGAUUGUAAAGCACUUUAAGUUGGGAGGAAGGGCAGUAAGUUAAUACCUUGCUGUUUUGACGUUACCGACAGAAUAAGCACCGGCUAACUUCGUGCCAGCAGCCGCGGUAAUACGAAGGGUGCAAGCGUUAAUCGGAAUUACUGGGCGUAAAGCGCGCGUAGGUGGUUUUGUAAGUUGGAGGUGAAAUCCCCGGGCUCAACCUGGGAACUGCCUCCAAAACUGCAUGACUAGAGUACGGUAGAGGGUAGUGGAAUUUCCUGUGUAGCGGUGAAAUGCGUAGAUAUAGGAAGGAACACCAGUGGCGAAGGCGACUACCUGGACUGAUACUGACACUGAGGUGCGAAAGCGUGGGGAGCAAACAGGAUUAGAAACCCGGGUAGUCC